rnacentral:sRNA from 1 species
AGACACCCAAAAGGUUGGCUGCGCCAUCAUUCACUGUAAGACAGAAGCAAGGAAUAUCCUCAACAACUACGUCAUUUGUGAGUACGAGCCCAGCGGCAACUAUAUAGGCGAAACACCUUACUGAUCGAUUCCUCACAGAUACAACUUGAUGAUCAAUAAAAUUGGUUAAAUUAAAUUAAAUAAAUCAGUAUCCCGAUCAAAAA